UGCUGAAAUCAACAAGUGCAUUGCGAGAGCUGCAGGUUUUGUAUCUCUAUACAUUAAGAAUGUGCAACAGCACCCUAAGUGAGAACAGCAAAUUGAAAGUCUACCAGUCCUUUGUUUUCAGCGUACUGCUUCACAGUAAUGAAACCUGGAGAGUGUGAGCUGGAUUGAAAGCUUGUAGUACCUCACGUAUCAUUAGCAUCUCUUGCAGGACAGUUAGCAACUCAGAAGUCCUGGAGCAUGUGAUUUCCACAGGAUACAUUCAUUAAGCCAACAACAUUGUGAUGUUUCAACCACGAUCAUUGGAUGAUCCUCCCUUAUGGUGAAGUGGCCACUGAAUCAUGAUCUGCUGGAUGACCUUACCUCUACUACAAGGAUUUUUUCAAGCAAUAUAUAAAGAUGUCAUACAUUGAUACAGACAACAGGGAGUUAGUCAUUGACAACCAUGACCCCUGGCCAGAGAAUCAUUGGAAGAGGUGAGUAGUAAAGGACAGCUUAGCUGGCCAAAGAAAACAAGCCAGAAAGUCCAACACCUUCUCAGCUCAAUGUCUUCCUCCUCAGCAAAUGCCAUGCCAGAACGGAGCACCUAAAUCACACAGCUGAUGUUUAAUACAGAUCUUUCUAACAAAGUUCAAACUAUCAUCUAAUGAGAAGGAACGCUGCCAAAGAGACAGAAAAAUCACACACAGCAAUGAGAUAAAUUACCAGAUGUUAAGCAAACUACUGGGUAAACAUCCCAGAUCUUUCUGGAGGAGUAUUGUAGGAACCUUUAUAUCCAUUGAAGGGGAACGUUGUAACUCAGUUUAAUUCCUCAUCUGCAGAUUGAUCACCUUUAACAGUGUAGCACUCCCUCCUUAGAAUUGCACUUAAGUAUGGGCCUAGAAUGAAGUUUAAAUCUCUGACGUGAUUUGGAGGAAAAAUCGUUAUUCAUUAGGAUUGACUAAAGUGGAAUGCACUGCAGUUUGAUACUCAUCUAACCUACAGAAGCAGCAAAUGCUAACAUGAGCUGCAAAAAAACUGACAGGACUAGGAGUCCUGAAUAAAUUCAUUGAUCCCAUACUCCCAGUAGGGACCUAUACUUGAAGCACAGACUGGAGAUAAAAUCACCAACAUUGUUUUGCCAUUUUCUGACUCUCAGUCCCUUAUACUGGUAUCGACACGUUGUUUAUUGUGGCUGAAAUUACCCUUAGGAGUAAUCUGAAAUUGUAUGACUGCAACCAGCUGAGAGCUAUCCCUCUGGUUUCCACUGACUCAGUGUUUACUGUGGAGAAGGAUAUGGAAGAUAGAGAAUGUGGGGAAAUAAACAGCGACAUCUUUAAAAAUGUCCAUAUUACAGAGGAGGAGGUGCUGGACUUCUUAAAAUGCAUAAAGGUGGAUAAAUCCCCGGGACCUGAUCAGGUGUACCCUAGAACUCUAUAGGAAGCGAGGGAAGUGAUUGCUGGGCCCUUGCUGAGAUUUUUGCAUCAUCAAUAGCCACAGGUAUCCGCUAGGCUGAUGCUCCUUCUCUGGAAAAUGCUGUUUGUGUGGCGGCUGCUGUUAUUCUGUCUGUCUGUGGCAGUGACUCCUGGAACCAGAAUUCAAUGCUACGAAUGGUGUGCUGACACCAAUAACAGUGCACAGAACCUUGGGAGAUUAGAAGAAACAUUGAAUAUCAACAUCUUCUCAUCGCAAAGCUUCAACUUUGGACUGGAAGGCAACCAGAACAAUUUUUCCAAUCCUUGAAUUAUCUAUGCCCAUUAAUACCUGCAUUCUAACUGCCACUCUGAACCCAAUGCAUUAGUUCCAUGCCUUUGUUUCCCCAUGGUCUACUCAGGUCUUUCUCUUCCUAUUAUCCCAUCAUUCCAUCUUUCUUUUACCCUCUGGUCCAAGCGCUGUACUCCAAUGAUCCUUUCCCAGCCCAAAACUUUAUAUUUCCCUAAUAUUGCCCAGCUGAUUGUCUCAGCCUUGAUCCCCCAUCCAUAUACCUAUAGCUUCACCCCCAUGACUUUCUCAGCAUUUUUGUUCAAAACGUUCAUCUGGAAUCCGUGCCAACCUCAACAGCAGAAAUUCCAAGGGUUGCAUCCUGUCUCAGAAGCCUGCCUGUUAAACUUGUUCAGUGGAUGCUAAUUCUCCUGACUUCCUUCCUGUAUCCAUCUCCUUUUCCUGAAAUUUGAUGCAGGAGCUCAUCACAAGGGAAGGCCACAACAGACAUGCGAUCAUCAAAGCCAGCCCUUUGCCGAUGGUAGUGAUCCUGCUGACUGCCAGCAACGUUAAUAAGUCAUCAAAAUGUUAAGAAUGUAAAUAUUUUCACCGGGCUAACGAUCCAGCGGUCCAGACUAAUGGUUCAAAUUGCAUUGUUGCAGCUGUUGGAGUGAUUUCAAUGAAAUCUGGAAUUGUAAGCCAGAUGCAGCAAUGGUGACCAUAGAAUGUAGGAAAAUCCCAACUGGUUCACAACGUCCUUUAGGGAAGGCAGUGUGUCAUCCUCACCCAGUCUGGUCUUAUAUGUGACUCCAGACCCACAGCAAUGUGGUUGAUUCUUUACUGUUCUCUGAAAUGGUUCCAGCAAGCUAUUGAAUUCAUGGGUAAGUAGGAAUGGACAAUAAAUGCUGGCAUUGAUUAUGAUACACAUAUCCCAACAAGGAUUAAAAUGAAUAACAAUCCAUGUUACACAAAUCACAAUGCAUAGUCCUUUUCUUCCAAUCCCAUCUUCUAAUUCUUUCUAUUAUUCCUACACAUUCAGAUAUAAAACAUGCAAUACUUUGAAUACAGCUUGUGACUUCUUUCUAAAGCAAUUAAAUACCCACAAUAUUGAAGAGACUGAAUAUUUUACUUGUUUAUUACACAAGUUUCAUGGCAAGGAUUGAGAAAUGGUCCAGAUGAUCCAACAGCAAGAUAUUUGUUGCAGCAGCAUAGAUUGGAAUUGUGCGCCAGGCUGUGUGGAAAUGUAGGUAACCCCAUAGGAAUUACCUGGGAAAUUGAAAACUUUGAUGAUCAAUUGCCCUGUGCCUGGAACCCUCUGAAAAAGCCCCUGAAAGGUGAAGAAUUUGGAAGUUUUCACUUAAGCUUAAUGGUUGCCCUGGAAAAGUUAAAUGAUUAAAAAAAAACUGUAAUUCUUGGGGAACCCCCAACUCAUUACUAAAGUCACACCCCCCCAAACUAUAUCUUUUUGACCUCUGACAGCCCAGGAUCCCUGACAACUACCAGCCAAUUAGACACUUCUGCCCAGCUUGUCUGGGGACUCCCAGAUUGUCAGCUGCCAUCCCCAAGCCCAGCCCAGCCACUGCCCACAAUCUAAAACCCCCGACCCCCACUCGAAGGCAACGUCAACACCACCAAUCUGACACCCGACUAGAGAUCCCAAACACUGCACCCCACCAUGGAUCCAACACUCCUACCCCAUCCAGCAUGUCAACCCCUGAAUCUGAUCCCAAACCUACCUCAUCCAUCAACUUGCCUAGCACCUUACCCACCUCACCCACCUGUCACCUUACCCAACUCACCCACCUGCCACCCUACCCAUGUCAUCUACCAGGCACCUUACCCAUCUCCCCCACCAGGCAUCCUACCCACCUCACCCACCAGGCACCCUACCCAUCUCACCCAUCUGUCACCCUAUCCACCUCACCCACCAGGCACCCUGCCCACCUAUCACCCUACCCAUCUCACCCACCUGCCAUCUUAACCCCUCAAAAAUAGGGUUUCUGACCCUAUGAAAAUAAGGAAAUGAUUAAACUAUGUUAUUAAAAAUGAAUACUGCUGGAAAUCUGAAAGAAAAUAAAAGAAAUGCUAGAAAUA